UCAUCAGAGCUUUGAUGGUAAAAAUCCAUGACUCUUAAACUAAGAUUCUGAGGCAUACAGUAUUCCAGAUAUAUUGCAACAGAGCAAGACAGACUUUUAUCUUCCUUUGGCAUGGAUGUUUGGAUGGUUGAUUUCACCUAGCAACAAUAAAAUACCAGCAAAGGCAGACUUGGUACAUCAAGCACAGACUCAGAUUCCUGCCUGCUUUUGGAUGUUUCUCACAGACACAUCCCUGAGCAAGACCAGAAGCUCCCUGCAGGUGUGCCUUUCAUGAAGGGCUUCUUUCUUCUCCUGAAUCAGUGCCAAGUUGCCACUACUGGCUACUGUAGAAGAGGAUGAUGGCCACCCCAAAGGACAAGGCUUAAGUUCCAGGAGAUUCUACCAGGAGACUCAGUUAUGGUUGAACACUAAGAGAAAUGUGUUGAUGAGAUCUAAAAGAGUGCUUCUGCUGCUCAGGAGAGCUAACAACUGGAAUAUUCCAUACCAUACCACAAGCUUGGCACACAGCUUGGCUUGACUUAGGGCCAGGUGAUCCAGGUGUGCCAGGGUUUGGAGGUGAGGAUCGAAGGGCAUCUGCUGUGUGCUCCCAACUCAGUAUCCAUCCGACAGCUGGAACAAUUAGAAUACACAACAUACAUUUAUUUGUAAAGGUGGGAACGCUGACCUAUGUGUACGUGCUAAUAAAUAGUAAAAGUCUGGGAAAUGUA